CCACAUUAAAUCAUAAAACUUGAAAACAUAUAACCAUUGUAAAAUGCCCACAUUUGCUCCAUGUAAACUGCACCUCCAAAACCAACCACGUAAAACCAUUCUCCUGCACCUUGGACUACAUAAUCACGUUUUCUUCCAAACACCAACUGAGUUUACUCCAAUUACUUCUCUUAUGCACAUGACUUGCUGCUUUUACCACUUUUGCAGCUGCAGGCAUGCCGUAGUAUCCAAUCACCACACAACACAUCUGAUAAUUAACUACAAAGAAAUUCCACCAAUCAAGAAUUCACAACCAAGCUUAGAUACAUAUCGUCUUAAAAUCAUGAGAUUCUUAACAAUAAGCUUGCCUACUUGUAUCAUCUUAAAAUCAAGAGACAACUCCACUUUCGCUACAUACACUUCUUAUUGCUUUUGAUUAAAAAAACUUGUUCUAGUCAAUGUCUUGGGUGUAGCAUAAGCAACUUCUAGAAAAUAAAUCAGGCACAAGAUGUUAUUAUAUUAUUAUAUGUUAUCAGAAAAUAGUUUUAUCAAAAAGGACAAACAAAAUUCAAAAUGAACCGUGAUGGAUAUCCCAAAAGGAAAAUUAUGGAAUUCAAACAAUAAGACAAGCCAUUCUUUACCUUUCUUCACUGAAACUUUUUGUCUUGAAAAUUAACCACACAAUAAGCAAGCAAAAUCAACUUGUUCUCAUUAACAAAAUUCAACGAAUAAUUGUAGAUCCAAAACAUGACAUGCAAGCUAGUAAUAACAAAUAAAAAAAAAGAUUAUUUAAAGUUUAAACAAAGAUUUUCUUUCCCACAAGAAAACUCAACAAUGGACAAUAAAACAUAAACAAAAAUAGCAAGACAGUGAAAGAAAAACCCCCCAAUUUGGCACAAAAAACAAGACCCCCAAUUUGCUUUCCCAUUAUCACACAAACCACACAUAGUGAGAGAAAAAGAGACAAAACGAAAGAAAGAGAGAUAGAUCAGUGCAUGAAUGGGUGAAAGAGAACUCAGGGAUUGAUAAAGGUGGCAUUGACCGGUGAUCGGUGAUCGACGAGCAGAGUAGAUCGAACGACUCAGAGAGAGAUAGAGAGAGCACCGAGUACGAGAGGGAGGGAGACCAGCAUGAACACAACAACAUUGAGCGGGAAAGAGAGAGCAAUGACGAGCAGCGAUCACCGUACCAAAGGGAGACAGAAAGUGACAGGGAAGGAGGUUGGCGCAGAUUGUCGAGGUAGGGAUGGGAGAGCGGCACAGAUCGUGAGGUAGAGAUGGGAGUAACACAAAUAAUAAACGUAAAUCCUAU
rnacentral:lncRNA from 1 species